UACGUAGGGGGCGAGCGUUGUCCGGAUUUACUGGGCGUAAAGGGUGAGUAGGCGGUUGUAUAUGUCAGGUGUAAAAGGCUAUGGCUUAACCAUGGUUAGCACUUGAAACUGUACAACUUGAGUGCAGGAGAGGUAAGUGGAAUUCCUAGUGUAGCGGUGAAAUGCGUAGAUAUUAGGAGGAACACCAGUGGCGAAGGCGACUCACUGGACUGUAACUGACGCUGAGUCACGAAAGCGUGGGUAGCAAACAGGAUUAGAUACCCUGGUAGU
rnacentral:rRNA from 1 species